rnacentral:rRNA from 1 species
AACAGGAUUAGAUACCCUGGUAGUCCACGCCGUAAACGGUGGGUACUAGGUGUGGGUUUCCUUCCUUGGGAUCCGUGCCGUAGCUAACGCAUUAAGUACCCCGCCUGGGGAGUACGGCCGCAAGGCUAAAACUCAAAGAAAUUGACGGGGGCCCGCACAAGCGGCGGAGCAUGUGGAUUAAUUCGAUGCAACGCGAAGAACCUUACCUGGGUUUGACAUGCACAGGACGACGGCAGAGAUGUCGUUUCCCUUGUGGCCUGUGUGCAGGUGGUGCAUGGCUGUCGUCAGCUCGUGUCGUGAGAUGUUGGGUUAAGUCCCGCAACGAGCGCAACCCUUAUUUCAUGUUGCCAGCGCGUUAUGGCGGGGACUCGUGAGAGACUGCCGGGGUCAACUCGGAGGAAGGUGGGGAUGACGUCAAGUCAUCAUGCCCCUUAUGUCCAGGGCUUCACACAUGCUACAAUGGCCGGUACAAAGGGCUGCGAUGCCGCGAGGCUUAGCGAAUCCUUUAAAGCCGGUCUCAGUUCGGAUCGGGGUCUGCAACUCGACCCCGUGAAGUCGGAGUCGCUAGUAAUCGCAGAUCAGCAACGCUGCGGUGAAUACGUUCCCGGGCCUUGUACACACCGCCCGUCACGUCAUGAAAGUCGGUAACACCCGAAGCCAGUGGCCUAACCCUUGUGGGGGGAGCUGUCGAAGGUGGGAUCGGCGAUUGGGACGAAGUCGUAACAAGGUAACC